GUCCCCAUCGUCUAGUGGCCCAGGACGUCGGCCUCUCACGCCGGUAACGCGGGUUCAAACCCCGCUGGGGACGCCA
rnacentral:tRNA from 1 species